GAUGAACGCUGGCGGCGUGCUUAACACAUGCAAGUCGAACGGAAAGGCCCAAGCUUGCUUGGGUACUCGAGUGGCGAACGGGUGAGUAACACGUGGGUGAUCUGCCCUGCACUUCGGGAUAAGCCUGGGAAACUGGGUCUAAUACCGGAUAGGACCACUUCUUGGAUGUUGUGGUGGAAAGUUUUUUCGGUGUGGGAUGAGCUCGCGGCCUAUCAGCUUGUUGGUGGGGUAAUGGCCUACCAAGGCGUCGACGGGUAGCCGGCCUGAGAGGGUGUACGGCCACAUUGGGACUGAGAUACGGCCCAGACUCCUACGGGGGGCAGCAAUGGGGAAUAUUGCACAAUGGGCGCAAGCCUGAUGCAGCGACGCCGCGUGGGGGAUGACGGCCUUCGGGUUGUAAACUCCUUUCGCUAGGGACGAAGCGUUUUUGUGACGGUACCUGGAGAAGAAGCACCGGCUAACUACGUG
rnacentral:rRNA from 1 species